rnacentral:rRNA from 1 species
CAUCCAGCGAACUUGGCAGAGAUGGCCUUGGUGCCUUCGGGAACGCUGAGACAGGUGCUGCAUGGCUGUCGUCAGCUCGUGUUGUGAAAUGUUGGGUUAAGUCCCGCAACGAGCGCAACCCUUAUCCUUUGUUGCCAGCGAUUCGGUCGGGAACUCAAAGGAGACUGCCGGUGAUAAACCGGAGGAAGUGGGGAUGACGUCAAGUCAUCAUGGCCCUUACGAGUAGGGCUACACACGUGCUACAAUGGCGCAUACAAAGAGAAGCGACCUCGCGAGAGCAAGCGGACCUCAUAAAGUGCGUCGUAGUCCGGAUCGGAGUCUGCAACUCGACUCCGUGAAGUCGGAAUCGCUAGUAAUCGUGGAUCAGAAUGCCACGGUGAAUACGUUCCCGGGCCUUGUACACACCGCCCGUCACACCAUGGGAGUGGGUUGCAAAAGAAGUAGGUAGCUUAACCUUCGGGAGGGCGCUUACCACUUUGUGAUUCAUGACUGGGGUGAAGUCGUAACAAGGUAAGCGUAGCGAG